GAAUCCGCUAAGGAGUGUGUAACAACUCACCUGCCGAAUGAAUUAGCCCUGAAAAUGGAUGGCGCUGAAGCGGGUACCCGACACUAUGCCGUUUAAUAUAUGCUUUAUUAGAUGAGUAGGAGGACGUGGCGGUUGUAUAGAAGCGUAUGCGCGAGCAUGCGUGGAACGGCCGCUAGUGCAGAUCUUGGUGGUAGUAGCAAAUAUUCAAAUGAAAUCCUUGAAGGGUGAAGUGGGGAAGGGUUCCACGCGAACAUUGAUUGAGCGUGGGUGAGUCGUUCCUUAGCCGUCUGGCAAUAGCUAGUUACCGGCGAAAGGGAAGCAGGUUGAUAUUCCUGCACGCAGAUAUAGAUGCGGUGACGCGCGCUGUGGCGGUGACGUCGUCGUUUUGCACUGGGCAGAGAUUUCUUUUCUGUUUGACAGAUCCAGGCGUACGCUGUGGAAUCCGCUUGUCGGGAGAAACAGGUACAGUCGUGGCAGAGCGCCGGGUAUUUUCUGGCGUCCAGUUCGCAAUCGGCGGCCCUUGAAAAACCGUCCGCGGAAAACUUCUAUACUGCAACGUACCCAUAACCGCAUCAGGUCCCCAAGGUGAACAGCCUCUGUCCAGUAUGAAAAAUGCAGGUAAGGGAAGUCGGCA
rnacentral:rRNA from 1 species